GAUGAACGCUGGCGGCGUGCCUAAUACAUGCAAGUCGAGCGAACGGACGAGAAGCUUGCUUCUCUGAUGUUAGCGGCGGACGGGUGAGUAACACGUGGAUAACCUACCUAUAAGACUGGGAUAACUUCGGGAAACCGGAGCUAAUACCGGAUAAUAUUUUGAACCGCAUGGUUCAAAAGUGAAAGACGGUCUUGCUGUCACUUAUAGAUGGAUCCGCGCUGCAUUAGCUAGUUGGUAAGGUAACGGCUUACCAAGGCAACGAUGCAUAGCCGACCUGAGAGGGUGAUCGGCCACACUGGAACUGAGACACGGUCCAGACUCCUACGGGAGGCAGCAGUAGGGAAUCUUCCGCAAUGGGCGAAAGCCUGACGGAGCAACGCCGCGUGAGUGAUGAAGGUCUUCGGAUCGUAAAACUCUGUUAUUAGGGAAGAACAUAUGUGUAAGUAACUGUGCACAUCUUGACGGUACCUAAUCAGAAAGCCACGGCUAACUACGUGCCAGCAGCCGCGGUAAUACGUAGGUGGCAAGCGUUAUCCGGAAUUAUUGGGCGUAAAGCGCGCGUAGGCGGUUUUUUAAGUCUGAUGUGAAAGCCCACGGCUCAACCGUGGAGGGUCAUUGGAAACUGGAAAACUUGAGUGCAGAAGAGGAAAGUGGAAUUCCAUGUGUAGCGGUGAAAUGCGCAGAGAUAUGGAGGAACACCAGUGGCGAAGGCGACUCUCUGGUCUGUAACUGACGCUGAUGUGCGAAAGCGUGGGGAUCAAACAGGAUUAGAUACCCUGGUAGUCCACGCCGUAAACGAUGAGUGCUAAGUGUUAGGGGGUUUCCGCCCCUUAGUGCUGCAGCUAACGCAUUAAGCACUCCGCCUGGGGAGUACGACCGCAAGGUUGAAACUCAAAGGAAUUGACGGGGACCCGCACAAGCGGUGGAGCAUGUGGUUUAAUUCGAAGCAACGCGAAGAACCUUACCAAAUCUUGACAUCCUUUGACAACUCUAGAGGUAGAGCUUUCCCCUUCGGGGGACAAAGUGACAGGUGGUGCAUGGUUGUCGUCAGCUCGUGUCGUGAGAUGUUGGGUUAAGUCCCGCAACGAGCGCAACCCUUAAGCUUAGUUGCCAUCAUUAAGUUGGGCACUCUAAGUUGACUGCCGGUGACAAACCGGAGGAAGGUGGGGAUGACGUCAAAUCAUCAUGCCCCUUAUGAUUUGGGCUACACACGUGCUACAAUGGACAAUACAAAGGGCAGCGAAACCGCGAGGUCAAGCAAAUCCCAUAAAGUUGUUCUCAGUUCGGAUUGUAGUCUGCAACUCGACUACAUGAAGCUGGAAUCGCUAGUAAUCGUAGAUCAGCAUGCUACGGUGAAUACGUUCCCGGGUCU
rnacentral:rRNA from 1 species